UGAGGAAUAUUGGUCAAUGGGCGAGAGCCUGAACCAGCCAAGUAGCGUGAAGGAUGAAGGCUCCUAUGGGUUGUAAACUUCUUUUAUAUGGGAAUAAAGUGUUCCACGUGUGGCAUUUUUGUAUGUACCAUAUGAAUAAGGAUCGGCU
rnacentral:rRNA from 1 species